rnacentral:rRNA from 1 species
GUGCUAAGGUAGCAUAAUCAUUUGCUGCUUAAUUGGUAGCUUGUAUGAAAGGUUGAACUAAUUCACUCAGUUUGUGGUGUUUACUAAGAAAUUAAAGUCAAGGUAAGAAUUCUUUGAUUUUCUGGGGGACGAUAAGACCCUAGAAGCUUAACAAGUAGUGUAUUUGUUAGUAAUAAAAAUUAGUUUGUUUUACUGGGGCGGUAAAGGUAUGUAAACUAUUAUGGUAGUGGUAGAUCCUUAAAAUAAAGAUAAAAUGGGAAAGUUACUCUAGGGAUAACAGUGCAAUAUUUUUGGAGAGAUCUUAUCGAUAAAAGUGUUUGCAACCUCGAUGUUGAAUUAAAUUGUCUACGUGAAGCAGCAGAUACGUAAGAGGGUUUGUUCAAC